rnacentral:rRNA from 1 species
UACGGAGGUGGCAAGCGUUGCUCGGAAUCACUGGGCGUAAAGGGCGCGUAGGCGGGGAGGUAAGUCGGGUGUGAAAUCCCUCGGCCCAACCGAGGAACUGCGCCCGAGACUGCUUCUCUUGAGUCCCGGAGAGGAAGAUGGAAUUCCCGGUGUAGCGGUGAAAUGCGUAGAGAUCCGGAAGAACACCGGUGGCGAAGGCGGCCUGCUGGGCAGUUUGGCUGACACUGAGGCGCGACAGCGUGGGGAGCAAACAGG